UUUUCCACGUGGACCUGACUCUUGUGCAGUUAAUUAUGAUGAGAUUGACCUAUGACUUGGGAAGCUUUUAUGCCUCGGUUUCUCGAAGACCCGAGGCGUAUAUGUUGAGUUUAGGCAUCAGUUUUAUUGAACAAUCGAGGCAGUAUCUGGUUAUUACCUCGGUUCAGCUGAUAACCAAGCCAGUAUGCCUUUAUAUUUUCACUCAUCAACGAAAUUACCCUACGUGCACUCUUUUCUUCCUCCAUUGUUUUUCAUCCUCUACUAUCGCCACUACAACCACUGCAUCCAAUCACUAACGUCGCCACUACAGGGUUAUCGAUCCGCCUUUGCCACCGCUAGAGGGUCGCCACUCCGUCGCCCCUGCUACAGUGUGCUUGUGGUGCCUCUUCUCGCAAAAUAACUCAAAUCGUUGCCUUAUCGUCGUUGCGUCGUCGCCACUGCCUCGCCUCCAUGUUGUCAAGACUUCAUUGCCUCCUUCUUCUUACUACCAUGGUCCUCCUUGGCCCUUGCUGCUGCACCGCCCCCUACAUCGCUGGACUUCGUCGCUUCCUCCAUAGGUUCAUCUCUCCACAAGUUCUUCAUUAUAUAGGAUAUGUAAAUUUGUGUAUGUACUGAUGAUAG
rnacentral:lncRNA from 1 species